AUUGAACGCUGGCGGCAGGCCUAACACAUGCAAGUCGAAUGGUAACAGGAAACAGCUUGCUGUUUCGCUGACGAGUGGCGGACGGGUGAGUAAUGUCUGGGAAACUGCCUGAUGGAGGGGGAUAACUACUGGAAACGGUAGCUAAUACCGCAUAACGUCGCAAGACCAAAGAGGGGGACCUUCGGGCCUCUUGCCAUCAGAUGUGCCCAGAUGGGAUUAGCUAGUAGGUGGGGUAACGGCUCACCUAGGCGACGAUCCCUAGCUGGUCUGAGAGGAUGACCAGCCACACUGGAACUGAGACACGGUCCAGACUCCUACGGGAGGCAGCAGUGGGGAAUAUUGCACAAUGGGCGCAAGCCUGAUGCAGCCAUGCCGCGUGUAUGAAGAAGGCCUUCGGGUUGUAAAGUACUUUCAGCGGGGAGGAAGGGAGUAAAGUUAAUACCUUCGCUCAUUGACGUUACCCGCAGAAGAAGCACCGGCUAACUCCGUG
rnacentral:rRNA from 1 species